rnacentral:rRNA from 1 species
CUUAACACAUGCAAGUCGAACGAGAGCGUAGAGAAAGCUUGCUUUUUCUACAAUCUAGUGGCAAACGGGUGAGUAACGCGUAAACAACCUGCACUACGGAUGGGGACAACAGCUGGAAACGGCUGCUAAUACCGAAUACGUUCCGGAAGUCGCAUGACUGUCGGAAGAAAGGAUGGCCUCUAUUUAUAAGCUAUCGCCGGAGGAGGGGUUUGCGUCUGAUUAGCUAGUUGGAGGGGUAACGGCCCACCAAGGCGACGAUCAGUAGCCGGUCUGAGAGGAUGAACGGCCACAUUGGAACUGAGGCACGGUCCAGACUCCUACGGGAGGCAGCAGUGGGGAAUCUUCCGCAAUGGGCGAAAGCCUGACGGAGCAACGCCGCGUGAGUGAAGACGGCCUUCGGGUUGUAAAGCUCUGUUAUACGGGACGAAUAAUCUUGUGGUUAAUACCCAUGAGAAGUGACGGUACCGUAAGAGAAAGCCACGGCUAACUACGUGCCAGCAGCCGCGGUAAUACGUAGGUGGCAAGCGUUGUCCGGAAUUAUUGGGCGUAAAGGGCGCGCAGGCGGCUUCUUAAGUCUGUCUUAAAAGUGCGGGGCUUAACCCCGUGAUGGGAUGGAAACUGGGAAGCUCAGAGUAUCGGAGAGGAAAGCGGAAUUCCUAGUGUAGCGGUGAAAUGCGUAGAUAUUAGGAGGAACACCAGUGGCGAAAGCGGCUUUCUGGACGAAAACUGACGCUGAGGCGCGAAAGCCAGGGGAGCGAACGGGAUUAGAUACCCCGGUAGUCCUGGCCGUAAACGAUGGGUACUAGGUGUAGGAGGUAUCGACCCCUUCUGUGCCG